AAGGGAAUGUUUGGCCUGUAGGAUGCUUUUGGAGACCUGGAUUUGGGCCUCCUGGGCCAUGACAUAUUCCCG